GCGGGUAUAACUCAGUGGUAGAGUAGCAGCCUUCCAAGCUGCCCGCGUGGGUUCGAUUCCCAUUACCCGCU
rnacentral:tRNA from 8 species